rnacentral:rRNA from 1 species
AGUCGAACGGUGAAGCCAAGCUUGCUUGGUGGAUCAGUGGCGAACGGGUGAGUAACACGUGAGCAACCUGCCCUGGACUCUGGGAUAAGCGCUGGAAACGGCGUCUAAUACUGGAUAUGAGCCUCUAUCGCAUGGUGGGGGUUGGAAAGAUUUUUCGGUCUGGGAUGGGCUCGCGGCCUAUCAGCUUGUUGGUGAGGUAAUGGCUCACCAAGGCGUCGACGGGUAGCCGGCCUGAGAGGGUGACCGGCCACACUGGGACUGAGACACGGCCCAGACUCCUACGGGAGGCAGCAGUGGGGAAUAUUGCACAAUGGGCGGAAGCCUGAUGCAGCAACGCCGCGUGAGGGAUGACGGCCUUCGGGUUGUAAACCUCUUUUAGCAGGGAAGAAGCGAGAGUGACGGUACCUGCAGAAAAAGCGCCGGCUAACUACGUGCCAGCAGCCGCGGUAAUACGUAGGGCGCAAGCGUUAUCCGGAAUUAUUGGGCGUAAAGAGCUCGUAGGCGGUUUGUCGCGUCUGCUGUGAAAUCCCGAGGCUCAACCUCGGGCCUGCAGUGGGUACGGGCAGACUAGAGUGCGGUAGGGGAGAUUGGAAUUCCUGGUGUAGCGGUGGAAUGCGCAGAUAUCAGGAGGAACACCGAUGGCGAAGGCAGAUCUCUGGGCCGUAACUGACGCUGAGGAGCGAAAGGGUGGGGAGCAAACAGGCUUAGAUACCCUGGUAGUCCACCCCGUAAACGUUGGGAACUAGUUGUGGGGACCAUUCCACGGUUUCCGUGACGCAGCUAACGCAUUAAGUUCCCCGCCUGGGGGAGUACGGCCGCAAGGCUAAAACUCAAAGGAAAUUGACGGGGACCCGCACAAGCGGCGGAGCAUGCGGAUUA